rnacentral:lncRNA from 1 species
UGGCAGAAGAAUAUUUUUGGUUAAUGUAUAUAAGCCAUGCGAAAAUGGCAUCUUUUGAAUGUUUACUUAGAGAAGUUUAAAUUUUAUCCCUGGCUGUACUUAGUACUUAUUUAAAUGAAUGAUCUUUAUUUCAAGAAAAAAAAAUUCAAAAUUUUACUGUUCUGACAUGAGUUACAAGUCCGGUAAUGCCCCUUACCUAUUCCGGCGACGGUUACGGGAUAGGGGUGUUACAGCUAUACUUUUUCGCACUUAGAUUAUUGCUCA